UACGUAGGCAGCAAGCGUUGUUCGGAAUUACUGGGCGUAAAGGGCUCGUAGGUGGCCAACUAAGUCAGACGUGAAAUCCCUCGGCUUAACCGGGGAACUGCGUCUGAUACUGGAUGGCUUGAGUAUGGGAGAGGGAUGCGGAAUUCCAGGUGUAGCGGUGAAAUGCGUAGAUAUCUGGAGGAACACCGGUGGCGAAGGCGGCAUCCUGGACCAUUACUGACGCUGAGGAGCGAAAGCCAGGGGAGCAAACGGG
rnacentral:rRNA from 1 species